rnacentral:lncRNA from 1 species
CUCUUAACUAAUUCUGUUAAUUUUCUUUCAUUCUUUAAUAGGAUUCUGUAUCCUACUAGUCUCUCCUCCUCAUUUUCCUUUUGUUUUUAAUUCAUUAAGUUUGUUGGUACAUUUCAGGUAUACAAUAUAAUGACAUUCAUCAUUGGGAAUUUGUACCUGUACAUGAUAUAUCUUGGUUCCUAUUUUUUUCCCCAUUCCCCUGCCCUCCGUUCACCCCUCUACCUCUUCCUAUUUACAAAGACUUUGUUUGCAUUUUUUUCUUUUCUCAUAUUUUUUUUCUUUCCCUUCUUUCUUUUACCCUACUGUAAGACCGAGGGCCUUACCAAAUACUCCGAGGAGCUGGCUACAGCGGCGAUCACCCGGGAAGGAACACACCGGACAAGUGGAAGUAAUAUAUUUCCAAAAUGAUGAUUAUCCAGAUGAUUAUGAUCUAUCCUGAGACCGGGGCUGAAGAAUAGCAAAAGACAAGGGUGGAAAACUGAAACCAUCAGUGUCACUAUGACUAAGAUGAGACUAUAGUCCAUGUGAGUUAGUAGUUUGUUUCAGAAAAAUUUGUUGAGAAAAUAUAAAGC